rnacentral:tRNA from 1 species
GCGGCAGGUGGUCCGGCUGGGGCUGGCAGUCAUGGGGACUGCGGCCCUCGGCCUGGCCGGGGCGGCGGGGCAGUUCGGCCCGCUCGGCUACC